GAUGAAGAACGCAGUGAAAUGCGAUAAGUAAUGUGAAUUGCAGAAUUCAGUGAAUCAUUGAGUCUUUGAACGCACAUUGCGCCCCCUGGUAUUCCGGGGGGCAUGCCUGUCCGAGCGUCAUUGCUGCCCUCAAGCACGGCUUGUGUGUUGGGCCCCCGUCCCCGGUUUCCCCCGGGGACGGGCCCGAAAGGCAGCGGCGGCACCGCGUCCGGUCCUCGAGCGUAUGGGGCUUUGUCACCCGCUCUGUAGGCCCGGCCGGCGCCAGCCGACACCCAACUUUAUUUCUAAGGUUGACCUCGGAUCAGGUAGGGAUACCCGCUGAACUUAAGCAUAUCAAUAAGCGGAGGA
rnacentral:misc_RNA from 1 species